GUGAAUAGCAAAGCCCUAGGGAGAAUUAAAUAACACUCAUCCCGUACUUCCAGUUGAUUUGCUUCCGAUGUGCCCAUUAAUCGACUGCAAGAGGUUCUAUGAGACUUUUUAAAACUACACCUGAAUGUAAAGACUCCUUACGGAUGUGAGGUAUACUGUAACGUUUACAUUCAAACGGAUGGCUGAGGAUGAGACAAAAAAAAAAGUGUGGUAGCAAAGAGAGUUAUAUCUUGAUUUUUGCAUAGAGAUGUUUUCAGGCACUGAGAACGCGCCCGUGCGUUUGUGCUGUCAAAGAAGAAAUAAGCAGUAUGAGCGUUCCCGGGAUCAAAAAAAGAUUCAAUUGUAAAUAUUUGGCAUUAGCACACCAAUCCAGAACAAGAAGAAAGCCUGAGGCGUUCUGUGGGAGCCAGUUACGGCAGCUGCCUCGGAGAGCCCUCUAUGAAUGGCUUUAUUGUAUUGCCCUCUACCGGAAUUACCGAGGACUGCAGACUGAUGCUCAGCGCGGAGAAAAAACUCGGGCGGGAGCUGCGUGAGGCGGAUACAAAUACGGUGUUUCACACUGCUUGGCAGAACCGCAGGGUCGAAUGCUUCUGGAUUUGCAGUCCAAAGAGGGUCUCGGGUUUUGUUCUGUCUUAGUGACUUUAGAGAAGAAUCCGUGUAUGCAGAAGUGAGACCCAAAGUUCUAAACUUGCCCAGAAAAUGGAUAACGUAUCCUUGAACUUUCAGGAAAAGAAAAAAAGAAAGCUUUCUGAGUUGCAGAGGUAGAUGGUUUCAGAGCUGAUGAGAGAACUGCUGUGUGAAACUGUGAGGAAAAGGUCUCUUUGGGUCCUGUGCCACAGAUUAUGAUUAUGAUUAUUAUUAAUUAUUAUGUUUGCAUUCAAAAAGAAUGCUCAGCUUUUCCUUACUGAUAGGCUUUUAUUAUUACUAUUUAUAUUCAUCCAGCGCUUGACUGAGACCAUUUUCCCCCUUAAAGGUGUAGGUCACUCAAUGCAUACUUGGUUACUGAGAUGUAAGGAAGAAAUGAAUCCCACAAAGGUGCAUUCUGAUCUUAAACCAAGAAAGGGAUUUUAAUGUUUGGCCCACCCUGAACCCACGGUGAAAUCUUCAGUGUUUCUCCCUCCACAGGUGCCUAAAUCCUACUGCUGUUAUACCACGAGCCUGUUAUUCCUGUUGUCACAGCUUUGGUUGGAUGACUUGAACUUUUAAACUAAAUUAUAAAAAAUAAGUCAGAAAUGGACCGAAAGGAGAACUUUUACUCAUGCAGCUCUCACAUGGAAAGAUUGGCCCAAGGCACUGCUUAAAGAAAGUUUUGCAUGAAAUUAUUGAAAGUAUUUCAUUACUGUACAGGUGAAUUCACCGAUUUUACGCAUUGGAAUAAUCCCUUAGAAGAAAGCCUUCUUUCCAUACGAGGAAUUGGAGAAUGUGUGAGUUACUCGUGGCAGCAAGCUGAAGAUCUGACUCGUUUUGUGUAAAAGAUGGAAGAUCAGGUCACGACUCUCGGCCCGGUAAGGUGCAGCAGCUGUAGUUUUGUUCCACCCAUUUAACUCACAGGUUUUGUACUCUUGUUCAGCCUCAGCAAGGUCAUCCAAGCCUUUGAAAGGAAAAGAAAAGCAAUAUUGAAAGGACAGAUUUAAAGAACCGAGCUAAUAGAGUUUUGUAUUUGUCGGAUUUCUCACACGUAAGCCACCAGAACAUCUGUAAGGAAACAGGCACUUUUAGGUGUUCUCCCUUCCGAGGGCUAUUUAGCAGUCCUACAGUACUGUCCACGGUUUGUGGUGUCAUCCUUGCAGGAACCGAGAAUUUACAAGCGUCAUUUUGCUUGUCUUGUAAGAAGAGUAAGAAAUAGGUAGCAGUCCCUUAAUUCUUCUAACCUAGUUUAGAAUCAAUUAAUUAAUCAGUAGCUGUGACUAAUUAUUCACUUCCAAUUAACCUGGAAAUUAUUUCAAAACGAAGCCAGAGAACAUGACUUCCAUGGUAACCGGUAAGUUUCUGCAGUGAAUUGGUGACGCAACCUAUGUGAUAUUACAUACCCUAUCUACGCUUACCUUAACAAUAGAGAAGGUGAUUUAUUUUGUAAGUUUUGUUGUGCAGCUUUAUUUAUUUGUUUAUUUAUUUUAGUGCCUAUAUAGUCCUCUACCAACUGUGCUGUUGUAUUUCAAGGGGAGUUUAUGGUCUGUAUUUUAUUACUUGUUAGAAUACUAGCUCGAAAAAGUUAAUAAACCGUACAUGAGUCCAGCGAUGUGACCGUUAACUAACUGGAACACUUUGCCUCACUGAGGACUUGAAAAUCACCAGAUACGAACGCAUUGCUUGUGCAACGAAUACUUUUCCAAAGCUGAAUAGAAUGUCAUCAAAAGAAAAGCUGAUCAAAGCCCACGUCAGUGCUCUGGUCUUAACUUAGGAAUGGCUUACGUUGUUGUAUCUAUGUGAUGUUAAAAAACAAAACAAAACAAAAAAAAACAAUUGGCUUGGCCUCUGUUGACUGAUUUCUAUCACAGUAUGGCUCAGACCUCAAAGAUCAUCGAGCUCGAAUGCCUCCACCACCGGCCGGGCUGCCACCCACUCAAUUGGGCUGCCCAGAGAGCCACAUCCAGCCUGGCCUCGAACGCCUCCGGAGACGCGUCAUUCACAACCUCCCUGGGCAUCCUGUGUCAGUGCCUCAAUACCUCGAGUAAGAAAUUCCUGCCUCCUAAUAUCUAACCUAAAUCUUCCCUCUUUUCGUUUAAAGCCAUUCCACCUUGUUCUGUCACUAUCAGGUUGUAGCGGAAAUGCCAAAUCACAGCUUGAAUCACAGGUGAUUGCGCACCUGGUGGGAAGGCAGGGCCAACCCAGGGGACCUCAGGUGCACUCAAUGCAGCUGAGUGACCGGGAGGGGUGGAGCCAGGAUCCGCCCCUUCCCAGGCCUCAUUUAAGGGUCAGCAGUGAAGGUGAGGGUGUCUUGCCGGUGAUUCUUAUAUCCUUGAGGCCCUCUGAAGAGGUGGCUGCAUUUGAACAGCAGCACAGCUGGAACAUUAACUAACUAAAAGUGAAGUUAAUAACUGCAGACUUCCACACAAGGUACAAUAUACAUCCUCAAGCCAGGGAAGCCCUACCGCAUCUGAGAAAGGCUGCCUUGCAGAAAUUCAGCUGCAACAACACAGACACAGGAAACAUCCUCAGCAAUUUCAGCUGAACAUACAAUGCCAAACGACCACCCACCGAAGAGGGCAUUUGCCUCCCCUUUCUCACCCCUCAAGAUUACCGAGGGAAUGGCAUCAGCCAGGGAAGAAGCCCCCAGCACAGAAAAAGCAGGUGCCUCCUCUUUUAGUGUGCCCAGGACCAGGAACACCACCACUAAGCAGCCAUCACCACACAGGAGCCACUAGAGCACCUCGGGAAGAGACAUCUUUGUCAGGAGGGGAGCUCCCCCUCCCCACCCCACAGAGGGAGUCCCCCAGCCAAGAGGGGAACUCCUCCCUCACACCCCAUGCAGGGGGGCCCUCCACCCAGGAGGGAGCUCCCUAAGUGGGGGGAGAGAAGAGGGAGAGCCCCUCCCCCCCACUCAGGAGGGGAGCUUACCCUCCCCACCCAGGGGGGGCUCCCCAGAGGGAGGGGAGGCCCCCCCACCCAGGAGGGGAG
ensembl:lncRNA